rnacentral:lncRNA from 1 species
UUCCAUAAUUUAUAAAAGAGAGUGAAAUGGAUUUUUCAAUCUUUAAAUCCAUUUGAACAUUUUCAAAUACUAGCACUAUAUUUGAACUCUCCUAUUCCUCAACUUUUCAAAUUGGAAUUUGAAUUUUGAAUCCAAAGUUAUUUGCAAAGAGAGAAAAACAGAAAAGGAAAAGGAAAAAGAAAAAAAAGAAUCUUACCUGCUGGCCGAGCCGGCCCAGCCACCUCGGCCUCUCCCUUCGCGCCGCCCAGUCGCCGCGGCCCCCUUCUCCCGCGCUCGUCCGAAGCCCAGCUCGGCCCAGCAGCCGCGCGCGCCGCCGCCGCAGUGCGCUUCCCCGCGUCGAAGGCGCCUUUCCCCGGUUUACGCCUUGUCUCACAGAGCUUCUCCUUCCCUCUGCUUUUCGUGCUCCUGGCCGGUGAACCCCCCCGCUCCACGUCGGCCUCCGAUGGCGACAGCUUCCAACCGCGCCUCUUUAUAAGCUGCGCCGUGCCCCUCCUCGCAGCCCUAGCGCCAGGAAACCCUAGACGGGUCCUCCUCCUUCUCUUUCUGCGCCGCCGCCGUCACCUUCUUCCCGAGC